UCUCUGGGUGAAAUGUUCCUGUAGCUGUCUUUUGCUACUUUUGGGUUCUUCUUUCAUCUACCCUUUUAUACCCUCCCCCCACCCUUUCAACCCCCACACUAGACAGGAAAGAGAAAAGGAUAGAGAGGAAAGAGGGCGAUGUUAUUAGACUACUUCCUGUUGAUUAAGGGCACUGAGUUCCUGGGGGCAAGUUUCUUUGCUGUCAGGGUAUCUAAUUUCUGCUUAUUUUUGUUUUUUCUUUGGUCAUAGACUACUUAAAAAACCACGAUCAACAACCAGCAACCCGUUCCGCCUCUAGGUGCCCUAGCAUUUAUAUACUCUCUGAAAAGUCCUCAAAAUUCCCAAUGCCAUACAAUCAUAGAAACUAUCUGCGGCUCACAGAAUCAUGCCCCUGCUAGAGCAUGAGCAGUCUUUGGACAAUCUGAAGCAGCCCUAUAUCCCACACCUGGGAUUAAAAUGAAAACACAUUCCCAUAAUAUUUUUGUGUUUUUCAAAGAAACCAAAAUUCUCACUACAUGUUCCUGACAGGAGAAUCAGAUUCUCAUGGACACUUCUUGUCAUAUUUGAUUUUUACCUUUAUUGGAAUAAGCUGUAUCAUCAGGGUUAUCACUUAACACUGUAGUUUUAGAUCUUAUUCAAAUACUCUUUGGAAAUUGAAGAAUUACAGACCCAAGUUUGUCAAAUAAUUUAACCAUAAUCAAAUAAUUAUUUUAUUGUUGCUAUGGUUUGACUUCUCUGAAGGUCAGUGUUAGUUUGUGGUCUUCAACCUCUCUGAUGUCCCACAGAGCAUCUUCCAGGGAAAUGCAUCACCUUUUGUUGUGUUAUAGUAGGAAUGGCCCAGAGGCCCAAGUGCCUGGGAUCCUCUUUCUAUGAACAUUUUGAUACCUACAUAAUGCAGAAUUGGAAAGGAAAUGUCAGAAAGGAAGAGCAAGAUCACAGAAAUGCCAGAAGUCUCAGACAUGGAACCUACUUUUUCCACAGCCUGACUGUCAGGACUUGUAUAUCAGGCAAGAUUUCACCCAUGGUGGAAAAUCAAGGUUGAAAACAGCGCUGCUCCUCUUCAGCACAGUGGGAGGUCUGUGUGCUCUUCUUUCCUGGCAGAGAGAAGAAGUGCUAGAAAAAUGGCCUCUGAGUUUUGCUAUCAGCAGUGGGGAGGCUACAGUGGGUUUGGUUUUAAAAGGAGUGAUUAACAUCUUUCUGGGAAGGUCAGAGAGAAAACUGCUUGGGGGCCCGUGGAGGAGGAUGGGGGCAGAUUUGAUAUAACUGUCAUUACCUCCCAAGGAGGCCCAAAGGGCUUGGAAAAUCAUCAAAGCAGGAAUUCCCAAAGUGCAUGGUCAGGACAUUCUUGAAAACAAUGUUUUGUUUGCAGAAAUAGGUUGCAGGAUGCCACUGACUGGACAGUAAAACUCAGGUUUCCAGGAGUUUGUUAUAGGUAGGAUGAUACCGAAUCAGAACGACUUAUCAAUAAAAGUAAUGCGCCCCAGAUGUGAGAAGCACAAUUCAGAACUGGGCCCCUAUGUCUGAUGGAUGUGCCUUACACAGUUUACCAGUUCCUGGGAAGAGCUCUAGAACUUGGUGCUUACCUCACAUGAACUAGGGACAUGAUAAAUAACGUGGUGAGUGAAAAUUUCAAUUUUGAUGUUGCAGCUUCCUGGUAAGUACCUCACGUCUUCUAGCCUCCCCUCUCCUCCUUUACCUCUAUGUCUCUUACUAGAAAUUUGGUAAUUCCCCAGAACAUUCUAUUUCAUUUCAAUACAGAAAUCUCUUGGCAACCUUACAGACUAUUGCUAUUAUAAAGACAAAUGUGUUUUUUUCAGGGUUUGGACCACAAUGCCCUUUUCUGUGUGGUGAGCAGUAACUCUAGGGAAGGACCCUGUUGGCUGAACUUGUAGCAUCUGUUUGAUAAACCAGUCUUUGGAGUCUCUGCAGCCAGAUGCCCGGCGGGAGAACACGUCUGUGAUGUGGUUUUGAAAACAUCCUGUUGUCUUUUUUUCCCCUAUGAUGCUUCCUUCUCUGAAUUCUAAUAGCAUCUUCUUUGUACUUCUCUCAGAUCACUUUGAUUGGCAAAGAAGAGCAAAGGGUUCAGAGCGGAGAUCCCUGGUUUCAAGCCAGGUAAUGGUGGCACGUGCCUUACUUCCAGCAUUUGGGAGGCCGUGCUGCCGGGAAGUGUAUUGUUCAUGAAGCAUCCCAGAACACUAAAGCAAAAGAACAAAGGGGAAGUUGGCGGCAGAGGAAAGAGAUGGAAAAAGAAAAAGAUCUUGUCUGGAAUGAUCACUUGUCUCGUCUGCGCUGUAUGCUGGAGGCUUGGGAGUCCUGGUUAGUUGUUGCAAAGUAGCCAGGCUGCUGGAAACAUACAUCCAUUCCCGGCUCAGGGUAGCUGUAGCAGAGUCUCAUAAAGCAAAUAAGCAAAUCAUGAGGCCCAACUAAUGCUUUUCUAGGAUAAACAAGCUAAAUUUUGAGAGUGAGGAGAUGCAGAUAUACUAUUCAAACACCUCUUUCUUUCACAAUUUAUAUUUAUUUGGUAGUAAGAGUUUAGAGUAGGAUCACUUACAUGUGCAUAUAUGCAAUACAUGUAUAUUACAUGCAUAUGUGUAGUGAAACCAUUGCUCAAAUUAACUCAAACAUGUAAUGAAUAUGUUUAUAACUAGCAGAGAAAUAAUAAAGCAAGAAAAUACAAUGAAGAAUAUUUUUUUUCUCAACAGUUGUAGGAAUGGAGAUCUGACAAGUCCUUGUAGGUCAGACUCAACAUUCCUUUGUCAUGACAUUAGGAGACAAUGACAGAGUCAAUGUGGCUGUGUUAAGCCUCCUGGGACCUUUGUAUUUGUGCACCUUAUUGCAUUUCUGCAUUUUCCUGGACCUUGUUCUCAAAGCUUAGCUGAAUGACAUCCUUGAGGGUGAUCUGCAUGAAGACCACAGGCUGUCCUGCAUCCUCAAGGACAAGAGUAAGUAUGGCAAGAUGAUCAGGAAACUAGGUCCUUUUAAAGAAAGAUAUUGAUAAACUUGGGGUGAGAGACUGUCCUGCAGACUAAUGGAGACUUGAACAAAUGUCACUUACACAUUCAGUGAAGUGACUUUGGACCAAAAGAACAUUUCCACUCAAGUUUAACCUGGUGAACCAAUGAAUUAAUUGGGUUUGCUUAAGGAAUCACCGGUAAAGAGUCACUCAUAGGAGUGAACCCUGUACAGCCAUAUCAUCAAAACAAUUUGACCCCAGAGUGAAUGAUGGUGUUAACACCCACCAUUCCAUCAAAGGAGUUUCCCUCCAGUUAAUGUUAAUCUUCCAAUGUCUGCAUUCUCUAAAACAUCCCAAGACUUUUGAGCAGUCAGCCAGAAUUACAUACAGCCAGAAGGGAGCACAAGCAUAAGGGAAUAGCUGGAAAGUCUGUUGAGAGCCUAAGGAUCCAUUCUACCUCUCCUUUCUACGAGAGCUCUUCAGCAGGCCCCAGCUUACUGAGGGUCUUUGCUGGGUAAUCACAGCUGCUCCGAUUAAGACAAUAAUGGCUGGUAUACUGGGACAGAGUUCACAACAGGGAGACAGUCUGAAGUCCACAGGAUACUGAGACUGUAAUGCAGGGGAUAAAAAACUUAGUCCUCUAGGCUGCUUGGAGCCAGGGUGAACUCUAACUAGGAGCUGUGAUGCCAUCUGUCAAUUGUAUAAGAAGUGUCUGAGAGAGAUUGAGAAUCAAGUUUCUUUGUCUAAAGGCAAAGAAAAGCCCAGGCCCAUCUCCCCAGCUCUGCCUGCCUGCCUGGGUAGUAUUUUGAGCUUAAGCAAGAUUUUUGUAUCUUCCCUAUGUAAUCCCUAGAUUGGUGUACUAGCUUAAUGCAAUCUAACGCAAUUCCAAUCUUUGAAGGAAAAUGUCUCUAAAAUUAUCCGGAACAUUACACAGGUGAAAAUAGCCAAUACAAUUUUGAAAAAUGAGAGUAAUCCUUAUUUACUCUCACAUAAUGGGGAAUGCAUUAUAUUUUAUAACAUGGAAUAUUUUAUGUGAGAAGUAAAGGGAUAGAGCAUCUGGGCAGGUAGACAGAAAAAAUCGAUCAUUACAGGAAAAUGAGGUCCAUGUUGUGAUAUGUAGGAAAACUCAAUCAUGUCAAUGCAUAUAUCUCAAUGAUAAGAAAAGAAGAAUAGCUUUAUUAGUAGAAGAUAAAAAUUUCAUUUGUUCUAUAUUAAAAAUUGUUGAAAUUCUUAGCACUUGUCAUGUAGUGAAAUCCUAAAAAAAUGUGUGUGCUAGUGUGUAUGUUGUGUAUGUUGGAUUAAACUAUGUCUUAAAAGAUACAACUUUGUUAUAACAUCCUUAGGAAUUUGGGCACUUUACAUUUACACGUGCAUGUGACUUUAAAUUUUAGUGAUUUAAAUGUAAAUAAAUUUUAACUGAUAAAAUACAUUUAUGCUGUAUAGCACGAUGUUUAUGUAGAUAUAUAUCAUAUGCAAGUAAUCUCUUAUGGUGAGAAUAUUUAUUAUCUAUUCUCUUUGUUCUUAGUGUGUAGAAUUCAUUGUUACUGUACAGUCACCAGAUUGUAACUAAGAUGGCUCUCUUGAACUGACCUCUUGUCAAAUGGAAAAUUUAUAUUCUUAAUUUUAAUAUGUUUGACUAAUUUGUACAAUAAAACGUUGAAGGU